GGGAUUGUGGCUCAGCGGUACAGCGCUCGCCUAGAACGAGGCCAUGGGCCCUGGGUUCGAUCCUCAGCAUCACA
rnacentral:tRNA from 1 species